rnacentral:rRNA from 1 species
GACGAACGCUGGCGGCGUGCUUCACACAUGCAAGUCGAACGAAGUGGCGAACGGGUGAGUAACGCGUAAUCAACCUGCCCUUAAGAGGGGGACAACAGUUGGAAACGACUGCUACUACCGCCUACUACAGGUGGGGAGUGCGUCUGAGUAGCUAGUUGGAGGGGUAACGGCCCACCACGGCGAUGAUCAGUAGCCGGUCUGAGAGGAUGAACGGCCACAUUGGGACUGAGACACGGCCCAGACUCCUACGGGAGGCAGCAGUGGGGAAUCUUCCGCAAUGGACGAAAGUCUGACGGAGCAACGCCGCGUGAGUGAUGACGGCCUUCGGGUUGUAAAGCUCUGUUAAUCGGGACGCGGUACCGGAAUAGAAAGCCACGGCUAACUACGUGCCAGCAGCCGCGGUAAUUC